rnacentral:rRNA from 1 species
UCCUGGGGUAAGCAUGUAGGGGGCGAGGUAGGUAAAUCCGCCUCGUAUAUAUCCUGAGAUGUGAUGCCGAGCCGAUUGUGGUGAAGUGGAUGAUCCUAUGCUGCCGAGAAAAGCCUCUAGUGAGUGUUGUGGCGGCCCGUACCCUAAACCGACUCAGGUGGUCAGGUAGAGAAUACCAAGGCGAUCGGGUGAACUGUGGUUAAGGAACUCGGCAAAUUGCCCCCGUAACUUCGGGAGAAGGGGGACCUCUGCUGGUGAUGGGCUUUACGUUCUGAGCUGGUGGGGGUCGCAGUGGCCAGGGGGAAGCGACUGUUUACUAAAAACACAGGUCCGUGCGAAGUCGUAAGACGAUGUAUACGGACUGACGCCUGCCCGGUGCCGGAACGUUAAGGGGACCGCUUAGCCAACGCGAGUUGGCGAAGGUGAGAACUUAAGCGCCGGUAAACGGCGGUGGUAACUAUAACCAUCCUAAGGUAGCGAAAUUCCUUGUCGGGUAAGUUCCGACCUGCACGAAUGGCGUAACGACUUCCCCGCUGUCUCAACCACAGACCCGGCGAAAUUGCACUACGAGUAAAGAUGCUCGUUUCGCGCAGCAGGACGGAAAGACCCCGGGACCUUCACUGCAGCUUGACAUUGGCGUUUGGAACGUCUUGUGUAGGAUAGGUGGGAGACUGGGAAGCUGUCACGCUAGUGAUGGUGGAGUCAUUGGUGAAAUACCACUCUGGUCGUUUUGAACGUCUAACUCUGGUCCGUGAUCCGGAUCGGGGACAGUGUCUGGUGGGUAGUUUAACUGGGGCGGUUGCCUCCUAAAGAGUAACGGAGGCGCCCAAAGGUUCCCUCAGCCUGGUUGGCAAUCAGGUGUGAGUGUAAGUGCACAAGGGAGCUUGACUGUAGACUGACAGGUCGAGCAGGAGCGAAAGCUGGGACUAGUGAUCCGGCAUCGGCGUGUGGAAGCGGUGUCGCUCAACGGCUAAAAGGUACCCCGGGGAUAACAGGCUGAUCUUCCCCAAGAGUCCAUAUCGACGGGACGGUUUGGCACCUCGAUGUCGGCUCGUCGCAUCCUGGGGCUGGAGUAGGUCCCAAGGGUCGGGCUGUUCGCCCAUUAAAGCGGUACGCGAUCUGGGUUUAGAACGUCGCGAGACAGUUCGGUCCCUAUCCGCUGCGCGCGCAGGAGACUUGAAGGGGGCUGUCCCUAGUACGAGAGGACCGGGACGGACGAACCUCUGGUGUGCCAGUUGUACCGCCAGGUGCACGGCUGGUUGGCUACGUUCGGAAGGGAUAACCGCUGAAAGCAUCUAAGCGGGAAGCUCGCCUUGAGAUGAGGUCUCCCACCCCGUGAGGGGGUAAGGCUCCCGGUAGAUCACCGGGUUGAUAGGCCGGAGGUGGAAGCACGGUAACGUGUGGAGCUGACCGGUACUAAUAGGCCGAGGACUUGACCAC